UAGUACACUGUAAUGAAUUGCUGUAAAAAUUACAGCAUUAUUUUACAGCCGCGGGCUGUUUUUUAAUAAUACAGCAUAUUGCUGUAAACUGCAAUACAUUCUGGGGUCACGUGUAGGUCUGACUCAAAUAUACAGAAUUUUGCUGUAAAUUUCAAAUCUUCAGAGCCGCAUCGUUACGUCUUCAACGGUCGAGGAGAUUAACGUUAAAGGCAAGAGGAGUGAUUCAAAACUGUGGAGACACUUUGACAAGUGGGCACUGGAUGCUGAGUAUUGAAGGCGAGGUUGUGUGUGAGGGCCCAGUUUCCUGUCCGGCCUUGCCACUCUGUUAGCUGCUUAUUACUUGUUUAAUCUUGAGUACCAAGAGGAAGCAGUGUGUACCUUGGAGUUCAUUCAAAGGUAAUGGUUUUGGGUGCUCUGUGAGAGAGGAACCAAAGCCAAGGGAAAAGUGCCAUCGAAAAAAAAAAACAGGACAAGUGAUACAGAGGAAAAUGUGUGGCAGUCAACCCACAUGUUGCCACUCUUCUGUGCAAAGUAAUGGAUUUCCAAUGGAAUUCACACUUUGAAUCCUGGGAUGGAACUUCAUCUGGAGCAUAAUUGUUAUUUGGUCGAUUUUUAUCUGUUUUUGAUGGAAAGUUUGUAUGAAUUCUUUGGCCAAAUCGGUCUAUUCUUUAAGUGAUGAAAGCUAUCUGAAAUUUUCUUUGUGGUUUUUAAAGGAUUAGUUCACCCAAAAAUGAAAAUUCAGUCAAUAAUUACUUAUGUCGUUCCACACCCGUAAGAUCUUUGUUCAUCUUCACAACACACAUUAAGAUAUUUUUGAUGAAAUCCAAUGGCUCAGUGAAGCCUGCAUUUCUAGCAAGAUCAUUUAUUUUUUCAAUGCCCAGAAAGCCACUAAAACAUUUAAAACAGUUCAUGUGACUACAGUGGUUCAACCUAAAUAUUAUAAAGCGACGAGAAUAAUUUUUGUGCGACAAAAACCCCCCCAAAACAAUGAUUUUAUUCAACAAUAUCUAGUGAUGGGCGAUCUCAAAACACUGCUCAAUGAAGCUUAGAAGCUUUAUGAACCUUUUGUUUUUAAAUCAUUUGCUCGGAACGUGUAUCAAACUGCAAAAGUCACAUGAACUAUUGAAAUUUCAAAACACUUAUGACGUAACGAAGCCUCGUUUACUGAAAUCAUGUGACUUUGGCAGUUUGAUAUGCUAUGAUCUGAACCAAAAGAUUCAUAAAGCUUUGAAGCUUCAUGAAGCAGUGUUUUUAAAAAAAUCAUCCAUCACGAGAUAUUGUUGAAUAGUCAUUAUUUUGUUUUUUGGCACACAAAAAGUAUUCUCAUCGCUUCAUUACACUAAGGUUGAACCACUGUAGUCACAUAAACGGUUUUAAAUAUGUUUUUAGUACCUUUUUUGGGCAUUGGAAAAGGAAAUGAUCUUGCUAGCAAUGUAGGCCUCACUGGGCCAUCAGGUUUUAUAAAAAAUAUCUUAAUGUGUGUUGUGAAGAAGAACAAAGGUCUUAAGGGUGUGGAAUGACAUGAGGGUGAGAAAUGACAGAAUUAUC